rfam:Blumeria graminis f. sp. hordei DH14, WGS project CATH01000000 data, contig: 000685
CCGUGAUGAGAAAUUUAGAUGACGAGUCUGAUCCGAGAAAUCGAUGUUGACAAAAAAAAUAACCAUUCAUGCCUUCUGAAA